AAGACUAUACUUUCAAGGAUCAUUUCUAUAGUUUGUUACUAAUAUUCUAUAUAGCACAAUAGAAUACAUGCUAAUA
ensembl:snoRNA U3 Small nucleolar RNA U3